rnacentral:siRNA from 1 species
UGUAUCUGCUGAUGUUUGCCCACC